UUGAACCGGAUUCUUCCUUACUGGAGAUAAAAAUCCAGCCUGCGUCGCUUCUCCAACAUUGCGGUAUUUGUCAUUGUGGAAAACGUCUCGUGUGGAAAGUUGAACUGAAUCGUAUUAUAUUCAACUUGCGAAAUGUCCGGAAAAGAAGGAGCUGGUAAAAAGGGAACAACCAAACAAGCGAAAGAAGAAGGGGGAGCUCCUAAAACGCCCGAAAAGAAGGAAGGCGAGGCUCCUAAAAAAGGAAAAGGAAGGGGUAAGAAGGCAAAGUGAAGAUUUCUACGGUAUAGCUUGCUUUAACUGAAGAUGGAGCUGCCUGCUUAGUUCGGAGUUGGUUAAUGUGUCAGUCAUGUUUUCCGUAAUUUUUAGAAUGUUUGAUUUUCAUUUUUAUAACACUUCAUUUCAUGUUUCAUGUCCAUUUUGUGAUAAUAAAACAUAGUGAUUUUUUUA